rnacentral:rRNA from 1 species
UACAGAGGUCUCAAGCGUUGUUCGGAUUCAUUGGGCGUAAAGGGUGCGUAGGCGGCGCGGUAAGUCGGGUGUGAAAAUCUCGGAUGCUUUAACUCCGAAACUGCAUUCGAUACUGCCGUUGCUUGAGGACUGGAGAGGAGACUGGAAUUUACGGUGUAGCGGUGAAAUGCGUAGAUAUCGUAAGGAAGACCAGUGGCGAAGGCGGGUCUCUGGACAAGUUCCUGACGCUGAGGCACGAAGGUCAGGGGAGCAAACGGG